AUAGCUGGGCGGAAGUAGCUACUGCGGAGCAGAACGGAAGUGCUGGCGGCGGGAGCCGGGAACCGCGUGCAGGAAAUCCAGUUCUGUACCCAGGUUUCCAUGUGUUGAGUAGGUUCCAUGUGAAAGCACGCUGGGCCAGGCUGCAAGAACAAGAAGGCAGGAUGUUGUCAAGACCGAAGCCUGGGGAGUCCGAGGCAGACCUGCUGCACUUCCAAAACCAGUUCCUGGCAGCCAGAGCAUCACCUGCAGUGAAGAUCGUGAAUAAAGCAGACAAGAGGAAGGGGGAGGAAGGAAGCAGAGAUGCUGAGAGGCCUUCGCUGCAGGACAGCAAGGAUGUGGUCAUGCUGGAUGAUUUUCCUGAUGUUCCCCCAGCUCUAACUCCAGCUCCUCCAAAAAAGUCCAAGAACAAAAGUGCCCGCAUCUGCUUCGAGGAUGAAGAUCCAGAGGGAAGACUGGAGAGUCAUGAUCAGCACAUCACAGCAGUCUUCAGCAAAAUUAUUGAACGAGACACGAGUGCAGUAAUAGUGACCAUUCCAGUGCCAAGUGGAGAUCCAUUUCCUAGGACAUUUCACCGCUCUGAGAUAAAAAGUGAGGUGAAGGUGGGAUCUGGAAGAAAAAGCAUCUUUGCCCAAAAGAUUGCAGCAAGAAGAGCUGCUGAAAAGGCAGCAACAGCUCCCUCUGCUGCUGAGCAUGUGCAAAUAGGAUCAGCUACUGUGGGUGCCCUGGGUCCUGAGGGAGCAAUAGGAGAGGUACCUCUCCCCAGCCUCGGGGAUGAUAAAACAGUUGACUUCUUGACCUCUCAGCGGCCUUGUGUUAUAAUGGGAGAGGGUCUUGGAAGCGAAAAGAGCGAGCAGGAAGUUCAGGCUAUUCACAAGGAGAACUUGGAGAAGCUGCGAUCCAUGUCCCAGGAAGAGAUCCUGCAGGAGCAAGAGAGGCUUCUGGCUCAGUUGGAUUCCAGUUUAGUUGCUUUCUUAAAGUCACGACGUGAUGGUAACGAAGGCCAGAAAAAGGAAUUUAAAAAGGAGCAGGACAGACCGGAGGAGUCUUUGGAAACUGUACCUGUGCCUCAAUGCGGUGUAGGAGCGUCUCCUUCCAUAGAGGGAUCAGACAUGGAAGAAUCUGUAAUGAAGGAAGAAAAUACAAAAGUAGAGAUCACAGACAGUCUGCCUGUGAAGCCCAAGAAGGAAUGGAUCCACAUGGACAAUGUGGAGUUUGAAAAGUUGGAAUGGAUGAAAGAUUUGCCUCCACCCCAGCAGAAGAAAACCAGAAAGGGAAUGCAAGCUCGAUUCAAUUUGAAAGGAGAACUGAUUCCUGCAGAUGCUGAUUUACCUACUCAUCUAGGCCUGCAUCACCAUGGAGAGGAGGCAGAGAGGGCUGGUUAUUCUCUCCAAGAGCUCUUUCAUUUGUCUCGCAGCCAAGUUAUUCAACAGAGGACCCUGGCUCUACAGGUCUUGGGUCGUAUUGUUCAAAAGUCCAGGGCUGGGGAGUUCGCUUCCUCCUUGAAGGGCAGUGUUCUGCGUCUGCUCCUUGAUGCUGGGUUUCUCUUCUUGCUGCGCUUCUCAUUGGACGAUGCAGUGGAUAAUGUCAUGGCAGCAGCUGCGGCUGCGCUCCGGGCUCUGCUGGUGUCACUCGAUGACGAGAAAUAUCUUGAUUGGACUUUCUCGUGGUAUCAAGGAAUGGCUGCAUUCCCCUUUGUCCCCAACAGUGAGGAGGAAGAAGAGGAUGAAGAGGAUGAAUUAACUGGAACUGAGAAGUCUCAAGACAAAAAACUGAAAGAUGAAAAUAAGCCAGAUCCAGAUGUGGCCCGAUAUGAUGUUGUAAAAGGACUUUUGAAGACACGGAUCCAGCACCGGCUGAGGUACAUCCUUGAGGUGGUACGACCUGUUCCAACAGUAGUCGUGGAUAUCCUGCACAUCCUCACCCACAUAGCAAGGCACUCCUCUGAGUCGUGCAGCCAGCUGCUUGACUGUCCUCGGUUGAUUGAGACCAUUGUCAGGGAAUUUCUCCCUACGCAAUGGGAUCCCCGAGUGGCUGAACCAGGGUGUUUACUCACCAGUGUCCAUGGAGUUCCUUGUGCCAGUGCUAUGAAGUUCGUCAGGGUGUUGGCAUCUGGAGGCAGAAAUGCAACAGCCCGGAUGCUCAACAAAUUUGAAAUGAAGAGUCGGUUAAGUCGAUUUAUAGCUGAAGACCCGCUGGAUCUGCUCCUGCCAAAGGAAGAAGCCAUCAGGCUAAGCACUGAAGCCUUCCGGCUGUGGGCUGUGGCUGCUGGCUAUGGUCAGGCCUGUGAUCUUUACAGGGAUCUCUACCCCGUGCUGGUGAGGAUUCUGCAGUCCCUGCCUGAGUUGCUUGGCAUUUGCCAUGAGAAGAGCCCUGUGCUUGAGCUGUCUGUCCAGCGAGCUGCAGCGGUCGUUACUCUGCUGACACAUGUGACACAAACAGCAGGCUGCACAGCAGAGCUGCAGGCCCAGCAGAGCAGUAAUGGCUCGGAAGAUAAUGAACAGAUUCCUCCUCCACCAGUAACAUGGAAUCAAGUGUCAAACUUACAGCCCUUCCUUGAAACCAGUCUGAAAAGAAUCCUCCAGGAAAUAUCCCAGACAGAAACUUGGCAAGCUCUCCAGCCUCUCACUACAACUUACAUGAUCUACUUGGGAGUUUAUUACAGUGCUUGCAGCCAACAGCCAUCAGUCAAUCUAAUUGACUGCUUAGAGGAACUGGAACGCUUGACAUUUGAGGUGCUGCUGCCCCUUCUCAGCCAGCCAGCCAUGCACAGCAUGUGGGAUUUGCUCAGGCCAUGUUCUGCUUUGUGCAAUCCUCUGUCCUGUGCCCCGGCACCAGAGUCUGUCUUCAGUAUCAUGUCUUUGAGUUGUACUGGAGGCAAACCUCCCCUGAGCCUAGUUGGCUCCAAGUCACCUUUCCCCUUUCUCACUGCCCUCCUAUUUCUCAUCAGUAGCAUCACACACAUUCACAAAGGGCUGAUCAGCAAGUACAGCUCUGUGAUGGGCUUCAAAGGCUUGAAGGAUUAUCUACAUGUGAGCUGGCAGACUAGACCUCCCUCUGUAACACCCUCAUCUGCAUGGAUACUGCGCCAUGAAUAUCAUCUGCAGUACUUUGUGUUAACGUUGGCUCGGAGAAUGGCAGGCACUUGUCCGGAUUAUGCCCAGCAUGCCUCACUCCAUCACUGCGUUGCCAUGGCAUUGCUAAGCCGUCUGUUGCCAGGGAGCGAGCAUCUGGCUCAUGAAGUCCUAUUGGAUCUUGCCUUUAAUCCAGAGUUUUUUCCUGAAGGGAAAGCUGGAGGGCCAGAAGCAGCUGACUUCUCUGAUAUCCUGCACCUGGGUACCAGUGCCAAACUGGCACAGCCUGGCUCUGCGGCAGCAAUUUUUUCCAAGCCUACCCGUGGUGUCUUGCUGAGAGAAUCAUACCAGAAUCUGCGUUUCAUCCGCUCCUGCUACCUCUCUCAUUUUGUUCACUUGCAGCCUACGCUUGUGCGUUCUCGGGCAUCCUACCAAGGACAGAAUUACCUCAUCCAGUCAAUGCUGCUUCCUGAGGUCAAAGGCCCUAUCCUGCCUUCAGACUGGCCAUUCUUCCCUCUUAUCAGCCUCUACAAUAAAAUGACUAAUGCAGAAACGUGGGGGGCUGUGCUGAACUCUCUCCCACUUGAUCUAGUCAACACUGUGACCUGGAACCUGCAAUGGGUCUUGUUACUGGAAACCUGGCGUGCUAAAACCCUUCAGAGCAUCCCCACUGCUGCCAAACUUGCACGGCUUAUGUGUGUCUUCCUCACAGGUGGUGACCUCUUUCUAGAAGCACCAGUCCAUUGCUACACAGCCGCCCUUCUCUCUCUCUAUUGCCAGCCCAAAGCACUGGACUCCCUGAACUUGGAUGCUCCUCUCCCUGGUUUGGCUUCAUUCCAUGAUCUCUACACAAGUCUCCUGGAGCAGUUUGAAGGUGUCUCCUUUGGAGAUCCACUCUUUGGAGCCUUCGUUCUUCUACCUCUGCAGAAGCGUUUCAGCGUUCAUCUGCGGCUCUCUGUCUUUGGGGAGCACACAAGCAUCCUGAGGGCACUGGGGGUGCCACUUCAGCAGUUCCCCGUGCCUCUUGAGCGAUAUACUUCACCUCCUGAGGAUAAUCUGAACCUCCUGCGACUCUACUUUCGAACACUGGUCACUGGAGCACUGCGCCACACCUGCUGCCCUGUUCUUUAUGUGGUGGCUGUGGCUCACGUGAACAGCUUUAUUUUCUCCCAAGACAGCACAGCACAGGAGAGUGAUGCUGCUCGGAAAAGCAUGCUGCGGAAGACAUGGCUCUUGGUGGAUGAGACCUUGAAGAAGCACCUUCUCUACUACAAAAUGCUGAAUGCAGAGAGCCCUUUGGGAUUUGAUCUUUAUGAACAACUCCCUCCUAUGCGACUGAAGUACCUGCAGAUGGUGACACAGAAAGAAAAUAAGGAGAAUGCAUCAGUGCUAGUCUCAUAGCAAAGCAUUGUGUAAGAGGAGGGCCAAGGGGAAGAAUGGAAAAGCUCAGUUCAUGCUUUGGUGAUGAAAAACAUCCACUUCAGACAGGUAACAGUGUCUUGCCUGAACACUCUUGGCAUCUCUGCAAAGUAGAUGAGAAUGCUGUCAGCCUUGCAGAACAAUACAAGUCUCAAGAUAUGACAUGAUAUGUGUGUGGCCUCUCCAUGCUGAAAGCUGGGACACGUUCUUCCAUUCUCCUUCAGGUUCUUCUGCUUCUUCCUGGAGGAGAAUGAAAAAACAUCUGGUCAAUAGCAGCUAGAAGAUGCUUGGUUCCAUCCAAGUUACAGGUGUUACGGCAUAUAGGAACAGUGGGAAUCUGUCUUGGGACAAAUUCAGCAAGAGCUAUGCUGGAAGACAGCAACAAUGUGGUUUUUGAGACAAAGAAGUGGUUCUGUGGACUGGAGAUGAGUUGAAGAUAAUACUUCCUUCUAGUAUUGAUGAUGAGUUGACAGGUAAUAUCAUGGGGCUCUCACAAUUAUGCAUCCUGUAACUUUAAUGGCAGUGGUAGAGAAAAUUUUUCUCCAUUAUAUUGAAUCUUUAUUUCCAUUUUAAAAGGGUAGAGAGAGCCUUUCUGUCAACAUGCUUUGUUUGGAUUCCCUGGGUUAAAAUCCCUACUUGGAGACUUGGCCUACUUCUGCUGAGUGGUUGCAGUUCCUAAAGAAGAUGCAGGCACCUCAGUAGCUGGCUGUACUAUGCACUGGGGUAGGACAAAGCCUAACAGAAAGUAAAGAGUGGGGAAAGGAAGAAAUCAAAAUAGUACUGAAAUCCCAGUGUAAGAAGCCCACACUUGCAUGUAUUACUGUUACGAAAUUCUCAUGAAGCAUUAUAUGAUUAAAGCACUUGCAUUCCCUUGUA